CCUACGGGUGGCAGCAGUGAGGAAUAUUGGUCAAUGGACGAGAGUCUGAACCAGCCAAGUAGCGUGAAGGAUGACUGUCCUAUGGGUUGUAAACUUCUUUUAUAUGGGAAUAAAUUGUUCCACGUGUGGGAUUUUGUAUGUACCAUAUGAAUACGGAUCGGCUAACUCGGUGCCAGCAGCCGCGGUAAUACGGAGGAUCCGAGCGUUAUCCGGAUUUAUUGGGUUGAAAGGGAGCGUAGGUGGAUUGUUAAGUCAGUUGUGAAAGUUUGCGGCUCAACCGUGAAAUUGCAGUUGAAACUGGCAGUCUUGAGUACAGUAGAGGUGGGCGGAAUUCGUGGUGUAGCGGUGAAAUGCUUAGAUAUCACGAAGAACACCGAUUGCGAAGGCAGUUCACUGGACUGCAACUGACACUGAGGCUCGAAAGUGUGGGUAUCAAACAGGAUUAGAUACCCCAGUAGUC
rnacentral:rRNA from 1 species